UCCGUAGGUGAACCUGCGGUUGGAUCAUUAGAAAAUUCCCCGCCUUCGGGUGGGUUGAUGGAAUACCAUCAAACCCCAACACCACCUCAACACGUCUCUGGCGGCUGAAGGGGGCUGGCUUUGCCUUCCCCCUUUGAGGACGUUGCCGCCGCAAAAUAUCGUGGAGGCAACGGACGAAACCGCCAACCACCUUUCUUAACUCUUUACCGCUUUGUGGCUUUGUCUAACACUUGUAUUCGUCGAAUGCAAACAACUUUUGGCAACGGAUCUCUUGGCUCUCGCAACGAUGAAGAACGCAGCGAAAUGCGAUAAGUAGUGUGAAUUGCAGAAUUCAGUGAAUCAUCGAAUCUUUGAACGCACAUUGCGCUUUCUGGCAUUCCGGAGAGCAUGCCCGCUUCAGAAUCAUUCUAUAAACAUGCCACAGAGGGGUUCCCUGGUGAACCCCUUUGUGUGGACAUUGGACGCUUUGCAAGGUUAACUUUGCAAUUGUCUGCAAAUGAUCUGUGUUCAGCAAUUGCCGUCUGGGAUGGGCAAAUCAAAGUGCGACAGAAACAAAUGGACCGCUUUGACAUGUCUUUCCCAUGCAGUUGUUGGGCAUACCCAAACCAUUAUUCGAGUCGGGUCCUUGUGGCCAGGGUCGAAAGAAACUUGGUCUGAAGUCGGGCAGGAAAACCCGCUGAACUUAAGCAUAUCAAUAAGCGGAGGAAAAGAAACUAACAAGGAUUCCCCUAGUAACGGCGAGUGAAGCGGGAACAGCUCAAAUUUGAAAUCUCACAGAGCGAUCUGUGCGAAUUGUAGUUUAGAGAAGCGUUUUCGGGGGCGGCUUGGAUAUAAGUCCUCUGGAAUGGGGCAUCAUAGAGGGUGAGAAUCCCGUUUAUGAUCCAAAGCCCGCUCCUAUGUGAUACGCUUUCCAAGAGUCAGGUAGUUUAGGAUUGCUGCCUAAAAUGGGUGGUAAAUACCAUCUAAAGCUAAAUAACGGCGAGAGACCGAUAGCGAACAAGUACCGUGAGGGAAAGAUGAAAAGAACUUUGAAAAGAGAGUUAAACAGUACGUGAAAUUGCCAAAAGGGAAACGCUUGAAGU
rnacentral:sRNA from 1 species